rnacentral:rRNA from 1 species
AAUCAACGCUGGCGGCGUGCCUAACACAUGCAAGUCGAACGAGAAAGUGGAGCAAUCCAUGAGUACAGUGGCGACCGGGUGAGUAACACGUGACUAACCUACCCUCGAGUGGGGGAUAACUCCGGGAAACCGGGGCUAAUACCACAUAACAUCGCUUGGUGAAAUUCCUUGUGAUCAAAGGAGCAAUUCGUUUGAGGAGGGAGUCGCGUCUGAUUAGCUAGGUGGUAAGGUAACGGCCCACCAAGGCGAUGAUCAGUAGCCGGCCUGAGAGGGCGCACGGCCACACUGAACUGAAACACGGUCCACUCCUACGGGAGGCAGCAGUGGGGAAUUUUGCGCAAUGGGGGAAACCCUGACGCAGCAACGCCGCGUGGAGGAUGAAGUCCUUUGGGAUGUAAACUCCUUUCGACCGAGAAGAUUAUGACGGUACCGGAGGAAGAAGCACCGGCUAACUCUGUGCCAGCCGCCGCGGUAAAAC